rnacentral:rRNA from 1 species
UACGAAGGGGGCUAGCGUUGUUCGGAAUCAUUGGGCGUAAAGAGCUCGUAGGCGGUUUGUCGCGUCUGCCGUGAAAGUCCGGGGCUCAACUCCGGAUCUGCGGUGGGUACGGGCAGACUAGAGUGAUGUAGGGGAGACUGGAAUUCCUGGUGUAGCGGUGAAAUGCGCAGAUAUCAGGAGGAACACCGAUGGCGAAGGCAGGUCUCUGGGCAUUAACUGACGCUGAGGAGCGAAAGCAUGGGGAGCGAACAGG